rnacentral:rRNA from 1 species
AUUGAACGCUGGCGGCAGGCCUAACACAUGCAAGUCGAACGAGUGGCGGACGGGUGAGUAAUGUCUGGGAAACUGCCUGAUGGAGGGGGAUAACUACUGGAAACGGUAGCUAAUACCGCAUACCAUCGGAUGUGCCCAGAUGGGAUUAGCUAGUGGGUGGGGUAAAGGCUCACCUAGGCGACGAUCCCUAGCUGGUCUGAGAGGAUGACCAGCCACACUGGACUUGGGACACGGUCCAGACUCCUACGGGAGGCGGAAGUGGGGAAUAUUGCACAAUGGGGGAAAGCCGGAUCCAGCCAUGCCGCGGGGGUGAAGAAGGUCUUCGGAUUGUAAAGCACGUUAAGUUGGGAGGCGUUACCCGCAGAAGAAGCACCGGCUAACUCCGUGCCAGCAGCCGCGGUAAUUC